GACGAACGCUGGCGGCAUGCUUUACACAUGCAAGUCGAACGGCAGCACGGGGGCGAACCCUCGGUGGCGAGUGGCGAACGGGUGAGUAACACAUCGGAACGUGUCCAGUUGUGGGGGAGUAACCCAUCGAAAGGUGGGCGUAAUACCGCAUGAGCUGGCAACAGGAAAGCGGGGACCCGCAAGGCCUUGUGCGAUUGGAGCGGCCGAUGUCCGAUUAGCUAGUUGGUGGGGUAAAGGCCUACCAAGGCUUCGAUCGGUAGCUGGUCUGAGAGGAUGAUCAGCCACACUGGGACUGAGACACGGCCCA
rnacentral:rRNA from 1 species